rnacentral:rRNA from 1 species
CCUAACGGGGUGCUGCAGUGGGGAAUAUUGGACAAUGGGCGAAAGCCUGAUCCAGCCAUGCCGCGUGUGUGAAGAAGGCCUUCGGGUUGUAAAGCACUUUCAGUGGGGAAGAAAGCCUUGGGGCUAAUACCCUCGAGGAAGGACAUCACCCACAGAAGAAGCACCGGCUAACUCCGUGCCAGCAGCCGCGGUAAUACGGAGGGUGCGAGCGUUAAUCGGAAUUACUGGGCGUAAAGCGCGCGUAGGCGGUCUGAUAAGCCGGUUGUGAAAGCCCCGGGCUCAACCUGGGAACGGCAUCCGGAACUGUCAGGCUAGAGUGCAGGAGAGGAAGGUAGAAUUCCCGGUGUAGCGGUGAAAUGCGUAGAGAUCGGGAGGAAUACCAGUGGCGAAGGCGGCCUUCUGGACUGACACUGACGCUGAGGUGCGAAAGCGUGGGUAGCAAACAGGAUUAGAUACCCCUGUAGUC